CGGGGUGGAGUAAUGUCUGGGAAACUGCCUGAUGGAGGGGGAUAACUACUGGAAACGGUAGCUAAUACCGCAUAACGUCGCAAGACCAAAGAGGGGGACCUUCGGGCCUCUUGCCAUCGGAUGUGCCCAGAUGGGAUUAGCUAGUAGGUGGGGUAACGGCUCACCUAGGCGACGAUCCCUAGCUGGUCUGAGAGGAUGACCAGCCACACUGGAACUGAGACACGGUCCAG
rnacentral:rRNA from 1 species